AUUGAACGCUGGCGGCAGGCCUAACACAUGCAAGUCGAACGAGUGGCGGACGGGUGAGUAAUGUCUGGGAAACUGCCUGAUGGAGGGGGAUAACUACUGGAAACGGUAGCUAAUACCGCAUACCAUCGGAUGUGCCCAGAUGGGAUUAGCGAGUAGGUGGGGUAAAGGCUCACCUAGGCGACGAUCCCUAGCUGGUCUGAGAGGAUGACCAGCCACACUGGAACUGAGACACGGGCCAGAAUCCUACGGGAGGCAGCAGUGGGGAAUAUUGCACAAUGGGCGCAAGCCUGAUGCAGCCAUGCCGCGUGUAUGAAGAAGGCCGUCGGGUUGUAAAGUACUUUCAGCGGGGAGGCGUUACCCGCAGAAGAAGCACCGGCUAACUCCGUGCCAGCAGCCGCGGUAAUUC
rnacentral:rRNA from 1 species